GAUGAACGCUGGCGGCGUGCCUAAUACAUGCAAGUCGAGCGAACAGAUGAGGAGCUUGCUCCUCUGACGUUAGCGGCGGACGGGUGAGUAACACGUGGAUAACCUACCUAUAAGACGGGGAUAACUUCGGGAAACCGGAGCUAAUACCGGAUAAUAUAUUGAACCGCUUGGUUCAAUAGUGAAAGACGGUUUUGCUGUCCCUUUUAGAUGGAUCCGCGCCGCAUUAGCUAGUUGGUAAGGUAACGGCUUACCAAGGCAACGAUGCGUAGCCGACCUGAGAGGGUGAUCGGCCACACUGGAACUGAGACACGGUCCAGACUCCUACGGGAGGCAGCAGUAGGGAAUCUUCCGCAAUGGGCGAAAGCCUGACGGAGCAACGCCGCGUGAGUGAUGAAGGUCUUCGGAUCGUAAAACUCUGUUAUUAGGGAAGAACAAAUGUGUAAGUAACUAUGCACGUCUUGACGGUACCUAAUCAGAAAGCCACGGCUAACUACGUG
rnacentral:rRNA from 1 species